rnacentral:rRNA from 1 species
GGAUGGAUCAUUAGAAGGGAUCUACAUUUAGUAGCUACCUACCUUUGUGGUGUAGAAAGAUCAUUGUCUGUUGGGCAUUGUGCUGGCGGUGAAAGCCGCUGUCGCCUGCCCGGCCCUACUAACCUAUUCAACCAUCUUAUUAACCGACUGAUGUUGCCUUGUGGGCGAAAGCCACCAAGUAAAUCAAUUGUAAUCAAAUACAACUGCUAGCAACGGAUCACUCGGCUCUCGCGUCGAUGAAGAACGUAGCGAACUGCGAAAAUUAAUGCGACCCGCAACACGUGAGUCAUCGAGUUUUUGAACGCAUAUUGCACCCGACGGGUUUACUUGUCGGGUCUGCCUGGCUGAGUAUCAGUACGUACCCAACUGCCAUACACUGGUUGAUGACUUGUCGUCGCCGGUGUGCCUGGUGUGUUGGUGGUCGUCUUGCGAAAGCUUGACGGAUCUGAGCGUCCGGUGUCUAUUAUACUGAUGUCGGUUGCUUGAAAUGUAUCGGUGCGCGAACAUCGUCCGUGUCUAGGCAUGGGCGUUGUCGACUCGUUAGCGUUGUAAUCAUCUUCGGAUGUCUUCGCAUACAACGACCGACGUCAAACUAUGUUCGCACAUCUCUGCGCAUACCAAACUAUACUCCACCAUCUUGAUCUCAGAUCAG